UACGGAGAGGGCUAACGUUGUUCGGAAUUACUGGGCGUAAAGGGUACGUAGGCGGUUUAGUAAGUUAGAGGUGAAAUCCUGAGGCUUAACCUCAGAAUUGCUUUUAAAACUGCUAUACUAGAGGUCGAAAGAGGAUAGUGGAAUUCCUAAUGUAGAGGUAAAAUUCAUAGACAUUAGGAGGAACACCAGUGGCGAAGGCGGCUAUCUGGUUCGACUCUGACGCUGAUGUACGAAAGCGUGGGGAGCAAACAGG
rnacentral:rRNA from 1 species